rnacentral:rRNA from 1 species
CUCGUAGGCGGUUCGUCGCGUCCGGUGUGAAAGUCCAUCGCCUAACGGUGGAUCUGCGCCGGGUACGGGCGGGCUGGAGUGCGGUAGGGGAGACUGGAAUUCCCGGUGUAACGGUGGAAUGUGUAGAUAUCGGGAAGAACACCAAUGGCGAAGGCAGGUCUCUGGGCCGUUACUGGCGCUGAGGAGCGAAAGCGUGGGGAGCGAACA